rnacentral:rRNA from 1 species
AUGGCUCAGGAUGAACGCUGGCGGCGUGCCUAACACAUGCAAGUCGAACGGAGAUUUAACGCUGAUGAGACUUCGGUCAAUUCUUGUUAAAUCUUAGUGGCGGACGGGUGAGUAACGCGUGGGCAACCUGCCUCGUACUGGGGGAUAACAGUUGGAAACGACUGUUAAUACCGCAUAAGCGCACGGUGUCGCAUGACACAGUGUGAAAAACUCCGGUGGUACGAGAUGGGCCCGCGUCAGAUUAGCCAGUUGGUGGGGUAACGGCUACCAAAGCAACGAUCUGUAGCCGGACUGAGAGGUCGGACGGCCACAUUGGGACUGGGACACGGCCCAAACUCCUACGGGAGGCAGCAGUGGGGGAUAUUGCACAAUGGGCGAAAGCCUGAUGCAGCGACGCCCGCGUGAGUGAAGAAGUAUUUCGGUAUGUAAAGCUCUAUCAGCAGGGAAGAAAGACCCGCAAGGGGGAUGACGGUACCUGACUAAGAAGCCCCGGCUAACUACGUGCCAGCCGCAGC